rnacentral:rRNA from 1 species
CUAAGCUUGCUUAGUAUUCAGUGGCGGAAGGGUUAGUAAUGCAUGGGUAAUCUGCCUUUAACUUGGGAAUAACGACUGGAAACGGUCGCUAAUACCGGAUGUGGUCGGAUAAGGCAUCUUAUCUUGAUUAAAGCGGGGGAUCCUUCGGGACCUUGCGGUUAGAGAAGAGCCCAUGUGAUAUCAGCUAGUUGGUGUGGUAAUGGCGCACCAAGGCUAAGACGUCUAGGCGGAUCGAGAGAUUGACCGCCAACAUUGGGACUGAGAUACUGCCCAGACUCCUACGGGAGGCUGCAGUCGAGAAUCUUUCGCAACGGGCGAAAGCCUGACGAAGCGACGCCGUGUGAGCGAAGAAGGCCUUCGGG